rnacentral:rRNA from 1 species
UACGUAGGGUGCAAGCGUUGUCCGGAAUUAUUGGGCGUAAAGAGCUCGUAGGCGGUCUGUCGCGUCGGCUGUGAAAACCCGAGGCUCAACCUCGGGCCUGCAGUCGAUACGGGCAAACUAGAGUACUGCAGGGGAGACUGGAAUUCCUGGUGUAGCGGUGAAAUGCGCAGAUAUCAGGAGGAACACCGGUGGCGAAGGCGGUUCUCUGGGCCUUACCUGACGCUGAGGAGCGAAAGCGUGGGGAGCAAACAGG